AGUGAACGCUGGCGGUAGGCCUAACACAUGCAAGUCGAACGGCAGCACAGUAAGAGCUUGCUCUUACGGGUGGCGAGUGGCGGACGGGUGAGGAAUACAUCGGAAUCUACUUUUUCGUGGGGGAUAACGUAGGGAAACUUACGCUAAUACCGCAUACGACCUACGGGUGAAAGCAGGGGAUCUUCGGACCUUGCGCGAUUGAAUGAGCCGAUGUCGGAUUAGCUAGUUGGCGGGGUAAAGGCCCACCAAGGCGACGAUCCGUAGGUCUGAGAGGAUGAUCAGCCACACUGGAACUGAGACACGGUCCAGACUCCUACGGGAGGCAGCAGUGGGGGAUAUUGGACAAAGGGCGCAAGCCUGAUCCAGCCAUACCGCGUGGGUGAAGAAGGCCUUCGGGUUGUAAAGCCCUUUUGUUGGGAAGGAAAAGCAGCAGGUUAAUACCCCGCUGUUCUGACGGUACCCAAAGAAUAAGCACCGGCUAACUUCGUG
rnacentral:rRNA from 1 species